GACGAACGCUGGCGGCGUGCUUAACACAUGCAAGUCGAACGAUGAAGCCUAGCUUGCUGGGUGGAUUAGUGGCGAACGGGUGAGUAACACGUGAGUAACCUGCCCCUUUCUCUGGGAUAAGCGCUGGAAACGGCGUCUAAUACUGGAUAUGCCUCAUCACCGCAGGUGUGUGGGGGGAAAGAUUUAUCGGAGAGGGAUGGACUCGCGGCCUAUCAGCUUGAUGGUGAGGUAAUGGCUCACCAUGGCGACGACGGGUAGCCGGCCUGAGAGGGUGACCGGCCACACUGGGACUGAGACACGGCCCAGACUCCUACGGGAGGCAGCAGUGGGGAAUAUUGCACAAUGGGCGCAAGCCUGAUGCAGCAACGCCGCGUGAGGGAUGACGGCCUUCGGGUUGUAAACCUCUUUUAGUAGGGAAGAAGCGAAAGUGACGGUACCUGCAGAAAAAGCACCGGCUAACUACGUGCCAGCAGCCGCGGUAAUACGUAGGGUGCAAGCGUUGUCCGGAAUUAUUGGGCGUAAAGAGCUCGUAGGCGGUUUGUCGCGUCUGCCGUGAAAUCCCGAGGCUCAACCUCGGGCUUGCGGUGGGUACGGGCAGGCUAGAGUGCGGUAGGGGGAGAUUGGAAUUCCUGGUGUAGCGGUGGAAUGCGCAGAUAUCAGGAGGAACACCGAUGGCGAAGGCAGAUCUCUGGGCCGUUACUGACGCUGAGGAGCGAAAGCAUGGGGAGCGAACAGGAUUAGAUACCCUGGUAGUCCAUGCCGUAAACGUUGGGAACUAGAUGUAGGGCCUGUUCCACGGGUUCUGUGUCGUAGCUAACGCAUUAAGUUCCCCGCCUGGGGAGUACGGCCGCAAGGCUAAAACUCAAAGGAAUUGACGGGGGCCCGCACAAGCGGCGGAGCAUGCGGAUUAAUUCGAUGCAACGCGAAGAACCUUACCAAGGCUUGACAUAUACGAGAACGGGCCAGAAAUGGUCAACUCUUUGGACACUCGUAUACAGGUGGUGCAUGGUUGUCGUCAGCUCGUGUCGUGAGAUGUUCGGUUAAGUCCGGCAACGAGCGCAACCCUUGUCCUAUGUUGCCAGCACGUUAUGGUGGGAACUCAUGGGAUACUGCCGUGGUCAACACGGAGGAAGGUGGGGAUGACGUCAAAUCAUCAUGCCCCUUAUGUCUUGGGCUUCACGCAUGCUACAAUGGCCGGUACAAAGGGCUGCGAUGCCGUAAGGUGGAGCGAAUCCCAAAAAGCCGGUCUCAGUUCGGAUUGGGGUCUGCAACUCGACCCCAUGAAGUCGGAGUCGCUAGUAAUCGCAGAUCAGCAACGCUGCGGUGAAUACGUUCCCGGGCCUUGUACACACC
rnacentral:rRNA from 1 species